rnacentral:rRNA from 1 species
AACGAACGCUGGCGGUAUGCCUAACACAUGCAAGUCGAACGAGACCUUCGGGUCUAGUGGCGCACGGGUGCGUAACGCGUGGGAACCUGCCCUUAGGUUCGGAAUAACUCCCCGAAAGGGGUGCUAAUACCGGAUAAUGUCUUCGGACCAAAGAUUUAUCGCCUUUGGAUGGGCCCGCGUUGGAUUAGCUAGUUGGUAGGGUAAAAGCCUACCAAGGCGACGAUCCAUAGCUGGUCUGAGAGGAUGAUCAACCACACUGGGACUGAGACACGGCCCAGACUCCUACGGGAGGCAGCAGUGGGGAAUAUUGGACAAUGGGCGAAAGCCUGAUCCAGCAAUGCCGCGUGAGUGAUGAAGGCCUUAGGGUUGUAAAGCUCUUUUACCCGGGAUGAUAAUGACAGUACCGGGAGAAUAAGCUCCGGCUAACUCCGUG